rnacentral:lncRNA from 1 species
AUGAGGUGCCUGGGGUGUCCGAGGCCUUGCUCUUUGCCUCCAUGUGGCAGGCAGGGAGCGAUGGCUGGCCAGAUCUCCCCCACGGGGGGUUGUGUCUCUGAUGUGCUUGGGGCCAGGGAUCAUCCACGAGCUUUGCGAGUGCAACAAGCCCAAAAUACUGCCGAGGAGCAAACCAGCGCUGGCUGGAGAGCUGCGUGCGGGACCAAACAGGCGAUGCAGCCAGGCUGCUGUGCUGCGCCUCGGGGUGCCAUUUUAAGCACGGCUGCGCUUUUUGGAGACCCGCUCCCGGUGGGAAGAGGGGCGUUCAAGCUGCGAAACGCCCCGCGAAAAGCACAACCCCGGCCACCCAGAGCCCCUGAAGGGGAACCCGGCCGCCAUGGCGCCGCGGCCCGCCCCUUCCCUUCCCCUUCCGCCCUCUUGACGGCGACGGGGCGGCCGCUGCCCGGGGAGCCCCGCCUCGGCCGCGGCGCGGAGCCCCGCAUCAUUUUAGGAGAGAAUUCUGUAGCCUCUGGGAUUUUUUAAGAGAUUGGAGCUUUCCUGGGCAGAACACGUCAUAUGGCUCGGUCCAUGAAAGGAACUGAUACUCCCAAAGGGAAGCAGGACUCUUGAGCUGAAGGAUUUAGCAGGUUUGAAAGUUUUUAUAUUUAUCUGCUUAUUUAAAGAGUCACAGGGUAGUCAUCUACCCUGAAACAGUUUCUGUUCUAGUUUAUGUUCUGGAUUGCAUGAAUUAUUUGUCAGACAAAUUAUUUUAGAGAAAAAAAAUUUAAAAGUUGCCAUUAAAAGCGUGUUCUUUUUGGAAAUAGCUGUUUGCUGAGUAAGCUAGAACCAUAGCCAGGUAGUUGAAAUCUGGAAAAACUAGAGGAAACUCAUACUGUUCUUUAUUUUUAUUUUCACAUUGAAGUGGAUUAUCCAUUAGAAAGAACUCCAAAGGCAUAUUCCGUCUCCUGAAAUUUUCAAAUGAAGAUAUGAUCCCGUUUUGGAUGUUGUAGCCAAGCUCAAGUUACCAAGGGCAGUGUUGAGGCAACUAAGUAAAAUUGCUAUGUACUAUCGAGGAGGUUAGAGAUUAAUUAUUGUCUCUUUCUGGCCUUAAUAUCUACAGUCUGUUGCUGUAGUGGACUGCAAUGAUAGGGCUGUGAUGGCAAGGAGUAGAUAUGUGUGUUGGGUAAAUACAGAAUGUGUAUUGAUUGCUGGGGGGAGGAGGUCAUAUGGUGGCUUUAUUAUUGGCUUUACGGCAAUAAAUUGAUUUACUGGAGGAGAUGGAGAAGUUAA